rnacentral:sRNA from 1 species
GGGUAUAUCUUCCACGCUUUCUUCUUGAUCACUUAAACACUUCCGUAAUUGUGACACAUGGAAGACGUUGUGAAACGCAUUUAAUUUUGGAGGAAGGUCAAGUUUGUAUGCCACCGCCCCUACUCGUUUGAUCACCUUGUACGGGCCAACAUACCUUGGGCUUAACUUUUUCCUUGAGGUGAAUCGCCCUGCCCCUUUGUAGGUCAUCGCCUUUAAGUACACCAAAUCUCCUACUUGGAAUUCCAAUUCCUUUCGACGUUUGUUGGCGUAGCUUUUCUGUCGAUCUUGGGCUUCCUU